rnacentral:lncRNA from 1 species
UUAAUUCCUGCCUUAAUUAUUUCUUAAUUAUUUCUCUUUCUCUUUUUCAUUCUAGUCGCUCUUGUUGCUGCAGUUUGUCUUUAUUUGCGAGAUGUUGCUCAAGGAGGAAAACUUAAUGAAAGUGCUCAGACUAGAAACGAGAGAAAGACACAAAGUCUGGAUAUAAAUGGAGAUUAAUUCAUUCAAA